UAACUCCAAGUGUGUUUUCCUCUACUGAAACUUCAGUAUUUAUAGACUGAUUUUCGUGGGUAGUGGGCUCAAAUGAGGGAGACCCAAGUCCAAAAUAAUUUGUUAUAUUUUAUUUAUUUAUUUUAUUUAUUUAUUUAAUUAAUUAAUUAAUUAAGUUUUUUUUUUCUUUUUUUUCGUUUUUUUUUUUUCGUUUUUUUUUGUUUUUUU
rnacentral:lncRNA from 1 species